rnacentral:RNase_P_RNA from 1 species
UCGGGUGGUCGCUGUCGGGUGCUCAGGUGCUCGGUAGAGGAAAGUCCGGACAUCACAGGGCAGCGCGUCCUGCGAAAGCAGGAGACGUCCGGUCGCGAGGCCGGGCGGCCGGAAAGUGCCACAGAAAACAAACCGCCCGCAAGGGUAAGGGUGAAAAGGUGGGGUAAGAGCCCACCGCUCCCGAGGUAACGAGGGAGGCACGGAAAACCCCGCGCGAUGCAAGACAAACAGGGGAAGGGUAGCCCGCCCGCUGUAUCCCCGGGUAUUAGUUGCACCCUGCUUCGGCAGGGCGCGCCGGGCUCCUCCGGGAGCUCGGCGUGAGAAAAAUGGCCACACAGCCCGAGAGGGUGGACAGAAUCCGGCUUACAGA